rnacentral:lncRNA from 7 species
UUUCAGAGAACCAUACAAAUUGGCCCGUGUUGACAGAUGUUUGUCACUUAGUAACUUCUUUCCAAGUUUUUUUUUUUUUUCCCCUCCCUCUUCCCUCCUCUAAGCCUUCUUCCGAGCCCGCUUUGUUGUUUUAAAAUAUGCAUGUCUCUCAGGAAUGCGAGUCACGAGUCCAAACUUCGUGUCCAACCUCCCACAAGAAAUGAUCCUUUUAUAGGGAACCCGAUAUGUCUCAAUCUGCACUUCACUCAAAGCCGCUGGAUAUAGGGCGCCGCUCCCUGCGCGCAAAUCACCGCGCCGAAGCGCAUUUCCACCCCCAUCCCCCCCCCCCCCCCCCCAAAAAAAAAAACCCACAACCAAACUACUAAACAAACAAACAAACAAAAAAAAAACCACGCAUGGCUCCCGGUGAGGAAAUACAGCUCCCAUGGUAUGGUGAGAAGGGAGUGCAGCCUGGAGGAAGGAAAAAAAAUACUUAAGAAAGGGAAAAUCAGGAAAAAAAGGAGGGGAGAAGGGAAGUUUUAUUCCUGCGCACGCCGCGCAGGGCCAUCGCAAGCAGUGGUUUUGCCAAGGACGUGCCCCUGCGCAGCUCCGGGUGCGUGGGGAGAAGACGUCAGCUCGUGGCGAGCGGAGGAGAGAUGGAAGAGCAGAGCCCAACUUCGGGAAAAGAAGCCGUGCCCUCAUCUGAACACCUCCGAAGUGAUUACUGGAUCCCUCUCUGAUAAAUCAGUUUGUGGAACCGAGCCGGGAGCACACAGACAAAAAGGUGGGAAGGGGAGAAGAAAAAAGAAAGGGAGAGAGAGGAGUGGGAGCUCUGCUCGCACCGCGUCUGUCCCUCAUUGCACCUUCCCAGUACCGCGGGAGCGCCCCUCCGCCCGUUCUCCUUCCGAAGGAGCUUUCGUUGGUGGCAGCGAUACGUGCUUUGAAAUAAGCGGCUUGCACUUGGGGUGAGGAAGGGGGAAACAUAAGGAAACCCAGCCCAUAUUUCCUAUUAUUAUUAUUAUUAUUAUUAUUGAUAUUAUUAUUAGUAUUAUUCCCUCCCCCGAUUAGAUAGGAGAACUCUUCUUCCCCCACCCCCCCGAGAGAGUGGAUUGAAGCACACAAAAAUGGUGUAUCGGUGAAAGGAAGAAAGUGGCCUUUUAAUGAGAACUAAAGGAAACCAAAACGCAGACGAAGCGCACCGUAAAGGCUGCUUCAAAGUGCGGUGUGAUCCCCGAGCGCAGCCACCGUGCAGGUUUGGUGAUGGGGAGCGCACUGCGCAGAGGCGUGGGUAACGCUGUUUUUCCCUUCGAUAAUUAUAGAUACGUGUCACAGACUCUUUGCAAAGAGCCGGGAGACAGCAGAAACCCUUUGCUGCUGCAAAUGAAGGAAGAGAGUCAACGCCAUUAAAAAAAAAUGAAGGCGAACCCACCCGUACCUGAGCGCUGCAGGGUGCGGCGGUCCCCGCCCCACCGCCGUGCCCCGUGCCCAUCUCCCGACCCUGGCUGUGCUGCAUCACAAGUCCGCACAAGCGACGGAGCGAUAAAUCCUACCAAAAAUAAGACAGAUCUCCUCAUCGAUGUGUAAUAAAGUUAAAGGACAUUGUUUUGUCAGACAAGCGCUAAGUAGAAAAUAAAUCUUUGGGUCUGGGGAAACAAAACGCAGUGCUGUUGGCAUGUGUGUAAAUUUACUUUUAAGAGCAAUAAAUCAAUGUUAAAUUAAACAGCUGGGUUCCUAUCUCGGAGAAUGGUCCGCGGUGAAGGAAACCUCGGCGGAGCCCGCUCCCUGUCCCCGCCACAUCCCCGCGGGCCGGGGGGCACCCACCGGGGGACACCCAGACACGGGGCACCCAUCUGGGGGGGCACCUGACCGGGAGGCUCUCAGCCGGGGCGGGACCUGCCCCAAUCCUUGGGGCCCCACCGAGCCGCCCCCGCUGCCUUGCGCCGGGGUUAAGCAGAGUAACCCGCCGAAACUGCUCAAUGCUGGCAUUAUCCGAGCACUAAUUUCAUCAUUUCUGCAUCAGGAGGCAGAGGCACGGCACGCAGCGCGCUGCCCUGCCUGUCGCUGGGAUCUAAUGUGGAGUGCCCGUCUACGGGGCGGCCGCGAAGGGUGCGAGGAAACGGGGUGCCCCCGGCACGCUGUGUGGGGUGAGAUCCUUCAGAUGCUGAGAGAAGGAGAGAAAGGAGGGAAAGGAGAGGGGAGAAAACGGGGAGAGUAGAAAGAAGGGGAGAAAAGAAAGGGAGGAAGGAGGAGAGAAAAAGAACGUGAAGAGAGAGAAAAUAAAUAUGAAGACAGGAAAGGAAGAAAGGAAAAUGGAAAGGGAGAAAAGGGGAGAAAGGAAGAAAAGAAGAAAAAUAGGAAAGAGGGAAGGAAAGAGAAAGAAGAAAGAAGGAAGGAGAACUGAGCUGAGGAGACGCGCAGUAAAGAUGAAGCACUCCGGUGUAGACACAACGCGAAUCAAUAAGUUAUUAAAAGCCCCGAACAACAAAAGCAAUAUUGCUAAGCAGAAAACAGCUUGGUUUUCUGUUAGAGAAUGUCUGUGUCUGACUGAGAAAUUUGAAGUUAUCAAGUAAAAUUUUAGAAGGACUGAGAAUAAAGGUAUUUGAGUGCAUUGGCUCUCACUAGUGUUACUCAUUCUCUCCCGAGCACGGGGACGAAGGCUCGGACGGAGGAUUCACGGUGACCGCAGCAGUGCGCUGCCCCCCGUCCCCCUUCCCGCUGUGUGCACACUGUUCGCUUUAUUUCCACAGAAAUGAUGCAAACGAGGAGCAGAAGCUUUUUUAAAAUUAUUUUUUAAAUUAUUUUUAUUUUUUUCCCCACGGGAUCCCUGCAAGUUUCAAAAACAUAAAAGGUGACCCUCGGCGGGACGGGCACCGCAGCGGACAUCUUGCCCGCUCUGCCUUUGUUUUGCUCUCUUAGAAAGGAGGAUCCCAACACACGGCAAAGUUGGACGCCGUGUUAGUUUGUUUGCAGAUAAGGGCAUUUUGGUCUCCAAGUUCCACCCCGGGAACUGCGAUCAGGUAACAGUCACAGCAGUGCGUUCUGCUCAUCACAAACCGCUUUCUGCCGCACUCUGAAUGCUUCACGCAUCGCCAGGACAGAGCCCCGCUUGCAUUUUGCCGCAUUUAUUUCUAUUAUUUCCCACCACAACAGAGUCCCGAAGGUCGGUCAACACCGUUCAGGUGCACUCUGCGCACCUCCUCCGCACUGAAACGCGCUCGGAGCAGAGCGUGCGAUCGGGGAGUUUAAUUAGGAAAGAUGGAGAAAUAGAUUAUCCUAAUAACCAGGCGAACAAAUGAAGGACAAAGAACCGAGUGGUCCCCUCGGAUGAUAAACGGAGCUGCCCCCGCGCCUCCCCCGACGUCUGCGGCGUCCGGG